UACGUAGGUCCCGAGCGUUGUCCGGAUUUAUUGGGCGUAAAGCGAGCGCAGGUGGUUUAUUAAGUCUGGUGUAAAAGGCAGUGGCUCAACCAUUGUAUGCAUUGGAAACUGGUAGACUUGAGUGCAGGAGAGGAGAGUGGAAUUCCAUGUGUAGCGGUGAAAUGCGUAGAUAUAUGGAGGAACACCGGCGGCGAAAGCGGCUCUCUGGCCUGUAACUGACACCGAGGCUCGAAAGCGUGGGGAGCAAACAGG
rnacentral:rRNA from 1 species